rnacentral:lncRNA from 1 species
AUGUGGGUAGUGUAAAAUAUUAAUACAGAAAUGUAUAAAGUUGAAAGUUUCAUGUGAUCUACACUGUUCAAAGAAAGCUGUGAAUAGACCUUUCUAUGCAUUUAUAAACAUAAGCACACACAUUUUAAAAUGAGUUCACACUGUACACUUUUCUAUUAAUAACUUGUUUCACCUAAUGUAUCAUGGCCAUUUUUCCAUACACAAUGAAUGUACUUUAUUCAUUUUAACAGAUACGAGAUAUUCCUAUAUGGCUGAACCACACCUUAACCUAUCCUUUAAUGACAGACAUUUAGCAAAAAAGGGUAUUUAUUGGUUCAC